rnacentral:rRNA from 1 species
CAGCACCGCGGUAAUACGUAGGGUGCAAGCGUUAAUCGGAAUUACUGGGCGUAAAGCGUGCGCAGGCGGUUAUAUAAGACAGAUGUGAAAUCCCCGGGCUCAACCUGGGAACUGCAUUUGUGACUGUAGAGCUGGAGUGCGGCAGAGGGGGAUGGAAUUCCGCGUGUAGCAGUGAAAUGCGUAGAUAUGCGGAAGAACACCGAUGGCGAAGGCAAUCCCCUGGGCCUGCACUGACGCUCAUGCACGAAAGCGGGGGGAGCAAACAGGAUUAGAUACCCCUGUAGUCCCUGUCUCUUAUACA